rnacentral:rRNA from 1 species
UACGGAGGGUGCAAGCGUUGUCCGGAAUCACUGGGCGUAAAGGGCGCGUAGGCGGCUCAUGAAGGCUGUGGUGAAAGUCCGGGGCUCAACCUCGGAUCGGCCGUGGCGACUCGUGGGCUGGAGCACUGUAGAGGCGGGUGGAAUUCCGGGUGUAGCGGUGGAAUGCGUAGAGAUCCGGAAGAACGCCAGUGGCGAAGGCGGCCCGCUGGGCAGUGGCUGACGCUGAGGCGCGACAGCGUGGGGAGCAAACAGG